UUGAACGCUGGCGGCAUGCCUAACACAUGCAAGUCGAACGGCAGCACAGUAUGUAGCAAUACAUAUGGGUGGCGAGUGGCGGACGGGUGAGUAACGCGUGGGAAUCUGCCCUAUAGUGGGGGACAACCCGACGAAAGUCGGGCUAAUACCGCAUACGCCCUACGGGGGAAAGGCUUCGGCCGCUAUUGGAUGAGCCCGCGUCGGAUUAGCUAGUUGGUGAGGUAAUGGCUCACCAAGGCGACGAUCCGUAGCUGGUCUGAGAGGACGAUCAGCCACACUGGGACUGAGACACGGCCCAGACUCCUACGGGAGGCAGCAGUGGGGAAUAUUGCACAAUGGGCGAAAGCCUGAUGCAGCAAUGCCGCGUGUGUGAAGAAGGCCUGCGGGUUGUAAAGCACUUUCGGUAGGGAAGAUAAUGACGGUACCUACAGAAGAAGCACCGGCUAACUCCGU
rnacentral:rRNA from 1 species